rnacentral:rRNA from 1 species
UACCUACGGGAGGCAGCAGUGAGGAAUAUUGGUCAAUGGGCGCGAGCCUGGACCAGCCAAGUCGCGUGAGGGAAGACGGUCCUAUGGAUUGUAAACCUCUUUUGUCGGGGAGCAAAAGACGCCACGCGUGGCGUUCCGAGAGUACCCGAAGAAAAAGCAUCGGCUAACUCCGUGCCAGCAGCCGCGGUAAUACGGAGGAUGCGAGCGUUAUCCGGAUUUAUUGGGUUUAAAGGGUGCGUAGGCGGUCCGGAAAGUCAGCGGUAAAAGCCCGGGGCUCAACCCCGGCGAGCCGUGGAAACUGUCGG